UACAUAGAUUCAGACUUCCCAGCCUUUAUAGGGUUAAGAUUGUUACAUCUUUUCUGUUUUUGUAUUCUUUGUAGAUUCUCUAAAAUGAUUAAAAGUUUCCCCCCUGUCCAGAUUGAAUUGUUAAAAAUAGAACUGUCUGCUUGAUAAAAACAUUAAAUAUAUUAAGUAAUAAAUUCAAAAGAUUAUUAGAUUUGCACACUGCUUAGCCACUGAAACCCCGUUUUAUUUAAAGUACCGGCCCGCCUCUUAGGCAGCUAGAGCUAGCUGUACAGAGUACAUGUAUAUGUCAACACGGGUAAGUACAACAAAUAAAUUAUCUUCUUCUAGUCAGAGGAUUGAGCAUCUAAUCUGAAGUGGUAAUUUCCGGAAUCUGGGCUUUUUCAAAACAUCCUUGUUCCAACUUUACAGUCACUUCAAAUCCAAUCAGGUUUCCCUCGAGUGCUUAGUGCUCGGAUGGAAACAAUGAGGCAAGUUUUCCCUUAUCUUGGUCCAACAGCUUCCAAAGUUCUCCUUUAGAUUACAGUAACAACUGCGCACAACGAUGCAGUUCAGACGUAAGAAGUAGUUUCAACUCCAGCUUUAAUGGCAGUCACAGCUCUGGUUCCAAUAGCAGUAACAAAUCUGGUUUCAAUAGUAGUCACAGCUCUGGUUUCAAUAGCAGUAACAGUUUCAGCUUCAAUACAGGUCAUCACUCAAGUGGUCAAAGUAACAGUUGUUGGGGGAAAUCUGGGAGCAGUUGGAACAGUUCUGGAAACUCUGGAAGCAAUUUAAUGAAUUCCUCUAGAUAUUCUCCAUGUUCCUGCACAGUGGAUCCACCGCUCACCACAGGAAAUGUUAAAUUCUCUGGAAUGAGUCUGGCCGAUCUGACACAGGUUACAAUAAACCAGGAGAUGGGUAAGUUUCAGCCCAGCUAUGCCCUUGAUCUCACCCAAGGGGCCCUUAACCUUUCUGGUUCAAGAAGAUGAGUCCGUAGAAGAAACUAAGCGUAUCUGGGUCCCGAAUGGGUCAUUCUACUGUGUUACUGGUCCAAGAAUCAUUCCAAGAAAUGAGUCUCGUUAGGCUUGUUCUGAUUCCUUCUAUGUCAAAACAUGUUUAACUAGCCUACGAUAUGAAUCAAAUUCAAAACCACUGCCUGGCACUUUAAUUCAUUCAUUUAACGUACUGUCCUGGUUUGCCAUACACGUCUGUGCGUGUACAGUACAGCUUGCAUUAGCUCGUUAAAUCUGUUAUAAUUGUAUUGAAUAUUGUUUAAAUAAAAAAAUGAA